UGUCAAAGAGUAUGUGCUUACACUCAAACACCCUAGGGGCCUCUACGGUGGUUUGUUUAUUGGAAUUUUCAUAGGAUUUAGACAGCAUUCCAAUCUGCUGCGGAAUUUUUGAGUCCUUCUGGAUUCAGUAGGUCAUAAAGAGCUGCCUACUGCGAAACUUACAUUUUCUAGCCUUCUCAGAUCCCACGUUCCGCUCAAAAUUCGCAGCCACUGGGCUUUCUUGUAAGUGAAUCAAAGGAGCACACCUGUGUCAUAUGUUACUUCCAAAACCCAAUGAGGCUUGUCAAGUGUUACAACUUUUUCUUUACCGCUGUCCGAUGCAAGGCGUAUUGUCUUUCAUAUUGACAAGGAUAUCCCUAUGUACCUCAGACAGGUCACUUCGGGCUCCAUGAUUCUAUGAAUGUAGAAAACUCCAGCACGGAAAAAUAUCUGAGUCAUUACUUAUCCCUCAGUGUCACGUCGGAGUUACUGUAAUUAAUUAAAAGGUUGGAAAUUGCUUUAUUUGCUGAUAUUUCCUAGCUUGGGUUGAGUUUCAAGCCAAGGACAUUACUGCAAGAGGAACAAGAAUAGAAAAUCAAUACCAUAUUGAUUGCCAGUGAGAACGAUUAUGAAUAACUUCAGUUUCCUCUUUGCAGGUUUGGGCUCAUUGUUCUAUCUUCGCCAUUUACGGCUUUCCGAAUUUUUACAAUGAAAAUGUUGCGAUUGAAUCAAAGGCGUGGACACAAAUGAUCGUGUCUAUACAAGUCUGUAAAUUCUUAAAUGGUAUGCAUUUUGAAAAAAAUCUUUCAUCAUGGAUAUCAAAAGGAUUAUUUUCCUCUGUAGCUUUUUCAUAAGAAAAAUGUCAUUUUCCUGAUCACGUUGAUAGUAAAACGGUCAUGUUUAGCCUGAUCAAAUUUAAGCUAAAAAUACUUACCUGUUCACAGUAAUUUUCACUCAAUUUCAGCACAUAGGAAAAUAUAUUGUUUGUAUGAUGAUGCAUUUAUUUUAGAUCUGGCGUUCCUUUCAAACUUUGAGCAUGAAAGAGACUAUUUAGCAAGCCUAUGAACUUAGACGUGUUUUAAAUUUUAAAGAGAUCCUAAAGAACUAGGUCAAGGCUUAAGCAAUUUUGGGCUUUGGAGAACGUAUUCUUUAGCUGUGUCAGAAAGUGGGGUAGGAGGAGGUCGAGAUGGAAGAAUCUGCCUGCCUUAGUAGGCUCCUCAAGAAACACCGUUCUGCAGAUAGAAGGCGGUUCUUUGGGGCCCUCUAAACUGCAAGGACAUUGAACCCCACUUUACCUUUGGGAAGGCUAAUUCCGAAAAGAACCAGAAUCUUACUCUCCUCUUCUGUGCUGAAUCACUGGCGCUCCUUUGGUUGCAGGCAACAGAUACGACCUCAGCUCAUCUAAAGGAGAAGUCAUUCCCUGGAGGGAGAUGGCUAUUUCCAAAAUCCAGGAAAUACUAAUGAUACAGACUUCAGUAAGGACUGAAAUCAAAACAGUGUUGGUGAUCUAGGUGUCCCACUGAAGUCCAGAUUCAGGAGUGAAACAGCAUCAAUUAUUUUUCAUCCCUCCCAUCUUUCCUUUCAGAUUCAAAUGCUGAGAGAAAGAGAGAGAGAGAGAGAGAGAGAGAGAGAGAGAGAGUACGAUUUACCUAGGUAGGGCUCUGGACCUAGGGUGGGCAAGGCUCUUUGAUGGAUAUAUUAUUAUGCCUUUAUUCUUGGGGGAUGGGGAGGGGGUCUCAAAAGGAAGCGGGACACUAUUACCAAAAGGGCAGGGACAAACCAAGAGAUAUCCCCUACAGGCAGUAUUUUUCUCCCUCUAACAUUUUAGGACUUGUUAUAAUCAUUGUGCCCAUACCUUCAUAGCCCUAUAUACUUGACACUGUCCUCAGCUCUUCCCUACCCUUUCCCCACUUUUUCCACCACCCAAAAAGGAUUUUAAAACUCUAGUUAGCUUAGAGAGGACUAGGCAUUGAGGAGUUCUUACUUGAGUUAGGCUAUGCCUUAUGGUUUAGUUCUAGCAUAGGCUCUGCCUUGCUCUUGAGGUCCUACCUUCUUGUUUCUGAAGUUCCAGUUUCUGUUGACCAUGACCUUAUCUUAUUUCCUGGAUCUGAGUUGGACUUGAGCCCUGAUUUGCUUCUUGCUAGGCUUGGGUGAUUUCCUUCACUUCCAUUGGGUACCCGGUGCCCUGUUCUCUUCCAGAAAACUCCUCUGGAACUCUCUGAUUGCUUCUAGACUUUCCAGCAUAGUGUUUCUCCCAUCAGAACACUUUUGAUAUUCCUGGUGGGAUCCUACUGAGGCCAAAUGACUAUUUGCCAAAUUUUCUCUCUCUUUUUUUUUAAUGCAGGAACACCUCUUUAUACAGUCUUGGCUCAUCCAAUAUUCCCAUUUAACUCUACCUUUUAAAUUUGCUUUAGUUAAAUAUUGAAUAGACAUAAAAUCCUAAUGAUAAUACAUAUAAAGUUUAAAGAAAUACCAAAUAAUGAUCUCCAAUGUACUGGCCCCCCAGUUUAAGAAACAUGAUGCAGGGGUGCAUGGAUGGUUCAGUCGGUUAAGCCUCCAACUUGUGAUUUUGGCAAAGGUCAUGGUCUCACUUUCAUGAGAUUGAACUCUGCCUCAGGCUCCACGCCUGAGAGAUUCUCUCUCUCUCCCUCUCCCUCUGUC